ACGUUAAAGACGAUUCCAAAGUGGAUUCAGGUUAUGACUGGGAUGCUGACAUGAUGAGAGGAAUUACAUCAUUUACAAGCAUUGUUGGAUGACGUCUAUUAUGGAGUAUCCACAAGACAACGGACCGCCUGCCGCCGUAGGUCAAUGUGAACGUGGGGCCGUGGGCGCUGGUAGCGCACCGGUGCCUGUGUAGGACAAGGGCCGGGGAGAGGUGUAAGUGGAAGACGAGACACCUCUCCCGCGUGUGCUACCAGAAUCGAGAUGUUUACACGGCGGAAGAGAUACUCAAAAUGGUAAACAGAAGGCGGCCGAGGUGUCAGGCUUUGACCCUUAAAGGGCUGCAGUGUAGCCGUGAUGCUACGAGGCAGUAUGUUAUUCAAUACUGCACCCAACACUAUUAAGUAGAAUAUGAGGGACCUAUUGAAGCAUAGCUGAGGAAUAGAAGGAGUCCCUCAGGAAUAGCAGGAAGGCUAGGUGAGAAAGUGCGUCGUUAUCGAAGAUAACCACUUCCUCCUUACUGAGGAAGUUCAUCUCACAAGCAAACAACAUUCAAGAGAAGCCUGCCAGCCAAACAGACUCAUCAUCCCUGUUCAGCUCAUCUCACAA